rnacentral:rRNA from 1 species
AUGGCGUACAUCGACGUUAGAACCAAGGCCUGUCCAGAUAUUGGCAUAGACGCUUACGUCAGAAAUCUGACCUCGUCGUACGCCGGCCAGAGCGACGAGACCUACGUGGUGGCCACCUCCGUCCUCAUGCUCAUGCUCGCCGUGGGCUUCCUCGCCCUCAGCCUCUUCAGCCGCGUCGCCAACCUCAGCUCCGUCCACCACCCCCUGGGCCGUCUCCUCCUCUCCGGCGCCAUCUCCCUCUUCCUCCCCGUCAUGUCCUACCUCUUCUCCGAGGCCAAGAUGCCGCAUGGGUGCAUGGAGUCCCACUCCCAGUCCCCGGGCGUCCGCGGGGGCAGCCGCACCCCGGAGCUGCCGCCGCGAGCUCGGGAGAUCCUCACAUGGAUGCUUCUCGUGGAGCUCCUCCGCAGGAAGGUGGAGGCGGUGAACCUCGUCGCAGAGGGCAUACAACGGUACAUCGGCGUCUUCACCAACGGAGCCACCGUGGCUUGGCUGGGCUACCUCGUCUUCACCAACGUCAGGGGAACUGGCCGGGUCGCCGUGUUUGGCUUCCUCUGGAUAGUGUGUGCCACCAAGUGGGUGCAGAGGUUCGUCUUCGCCAAGGUACUCAAACACUCCUUGUCGUACGACAUGAAUGCCGGGCUCGUCUCCUGCUACAUGGACCAGAUGAUGCUACAACUCCGGCAAGGCGUGCCGGGGAACGACGCGCCACCGGAGGAGAAGCUGAAGAGGUGCGACUACGUCGUCAUGGGGGAAGAGAAGCUGGUGUCGGAGGCAUCUGGCCCGCGGGGCUACAGGCUCCACGACCUCCAGAAGGUCGCCACCGUCGUCACCGUCGGAAGAGUGUGGCGACUCGCCGACGUUGAGGUUGAGGAGGGUGACGCCCGUCCCCUCCUGAAAUCUAACCCAUGUUUAAAGAGGCUCUGCCUCUCCAUGGCGUUGUUCAAGCUUCUCCGGCGUAGGAUCGAGCGCCAGCCAGCCAUGGCCAAGGAAGAAACGGACCACUGCCGGGACCUCAUCCUGCAAGGCUUGUUUAAGGAAGACGAAGACGGCGGCUCCCUAGUGUUGGAGGUGCUCAACAAUGAGGUGGACUUCCUGAGCGAGUAUUACCACUCGGUCCACCCCGUUGUGCUCGCCAGCCCCUACUUCUUUGUGGUCAACUACCUUGUGGUGCCGGUUGUGGUGUGCUGUCUCUGUGCCACCACUACCAUCCUCUCCGGCAGCGGCCACGUGCUGUUCGCGUUCCAUACCAUCAAAGCAGACAACUACGCCAUACGCUACGGGAUAUUCAGGGUGCUUAGGUGCCUCCUGGAAAGAGCUCUUACCAGCCCCCAGGCAUUCUUCCCCGCCAUCGACGUCAUCAUCUCCUACCUCCUCUUCACUGCCUUCUUCCUGGAGCAGCUGAUCGAGUUCGUGGUGUUCCUGCUCUCCAACUGGUUCAUGGUGUCACUCUUGUGCCGCUACAUCGCAAAGAGCCAGUGGCGGCACAGAUCCGUCUUCCCAUGGGCCGUCCGCUUCAUCUCAUGGGCCAGGAGAAGGCUCCGCCCCCCUAGCAACAUCACCUUCAAGCAGUUCUCCGUGUUGAGCUCGUUCUGGCACCCAGCGAUGCUGCCGAGCGCGUCUCUACCAAGAGAAGCAAAGCCUUCCAUUGUGAAACGGUUCCGCCUCGCGGCAUAUGGCCAUGACGGGAACGACGACAAUGUCAUCCCCGAUUCCGUUCCUCUUAGCAAGGGCCGCCGCGCACUAGAAAUGCCGGGUCGGCUACAAUAUAUGCACUUGUCAUGGUUCUGCAAUAUUGAGUGUGUUGCCGAGGCCAUCCUCACCUGGCACAUAGCUACCAGCCUCGUGGAGAUGAAACAUCCACACCGGAAGCGAAAGGGUAUUCCCGACGUCGUGGCGACGAGGCUGUCAAACUAUUGUGCUUACCUCGUGGGCACCUGCCCCGAGCUGUUGCCCGGCCACCAGGAGGGGACGAAGCGCGUGUUUAGUAACAUGAAGAAGGAUAUGAGGAAGGAGCUCGGAUUUUGGGGCUAUCACUACCCGUCCAAGCAUGCCCGUUCCAACAAAAUGAUGACGCUAACCCAUGAUAAGCUGAUGCCGGACCAUCAGGAUCAGGAUGAGUCCAUGACGGUGGUUCAGAAGGGCAUAGCUCUGGGGAAGGCGCUGAUAGAAGCCAUCAGCAAGGGGAGCGAUCAGCCCGUCUGGGAGCUACUGGCCGAUGUGUGGGUGGAGCUCAUCAUGUACGUCGCGCCAUCGAGCGGUGAUCAGCACGUGAAGGGGCACGAGGAGGCGCUGGCACGGGGCAGUGAGGUCAUGACCCUGCUCUGGGCGCUCGCCACGCACACCGGCAUAACCCGCCCACCGCCGACCGCGGUGGCCGUCGAAAUGAUCGACGAUGGAAUAUGCCUAGCCUAG